rnacentral:rRNA from 1 species
AGGGUUUGAUCAUGGCUCAGGAUGAACGCUGGCGGCGUGCCUAACACAUGCAAGUCGAACGGAGUUCUUAAGGAAUGCGACUUCGGUCAAAUGACUUUUGAACUUAGUGGCGGACGGGUGAGUAACGCGUGAGCAACCUGCCUUUCAGAGGGGGAUAACAUUUGGAAACAGAUGCUAAUACCGCAUAAGAUUACAGUACCGCAUGAUACAGUGAUCAAAGGAGCAAUCCGCUGAAAGAUGGGCUCGCGUCCGAUUAGAUAGUUGGUGAGAUAACAGCCCACCAAGGCGACGAUCAGUAGCCGACCUGAGAGGGUGACCGGCCACAUUGGGAAUGAGACACGGCCCAG